ensembl:lncRNA
GUUGGGGUUAAGGAUUAGGGUUAGGGAUUAGGGUUGGCGGUUAUGGUUGGGGUUUAGGGUUAGGUUUAGGGAUCGGGAUUAUGGUUAGGGAUUAGGGGUAAGGUUUAGGUAGUAGGGUAGGGUUUUAGGAGGGUGAGGUUUAGGGAUUAAGGUUAGCGGUUAUGGUUGGGGUUUAGGGUUAGGUUUAGGGAUCGGGAUUAUGGUUAGGGAUUAGGGGUAAGGUUUUGGUAGUAGGGUACUGUUUUAGGAGGGUGAGGUUUAGGGAUUAAGGUUAGCGGUUAUGGUUGGGGUUUAGGGUUAGGUUUAGGGAUCGGGAUUAUGGUUAGGGAUUAGGAGUUAGGUUUAGGGAAUAGGGUAGGGUUUUAGGAGGGUAAGGUUUAGGGGUUAGGGAUUAGGGUUAGGGUUAGAGCUGGCAGCAAUGGCAGCAUGGUGUGUGAAUUCUGGCUCUGACAGUUCCUCAACCUCGACUACAUCAUUUGAGUUAAAGAUGGACUGUUUUUGAAUCCCGCAGUUAUUAUUUUUGUUUGUCCCUGCCUGAGAGAGUUUUUUUUGUAAUGGAUUUUGUUGGUUCUAUUAUCCAAAGUAUAAGCAAACUAGUAGCCUAAUUUAAACUAGCAUGACCCUGACCAGGCGUUCACUAAGGAUGAAUGAAAUGCAUUGCACAACGCCACACAUUCAUUUUAAUGAGCACGGACUUGAUUUUUUGCCGUGAGGGUAUAUCAUACCUGACAGCUUGGCUUUGUGUUGCAUCCUGCAGGAUCCCAGUCCUGAUACACACCUCUACUAGUCUCAACUCUGUGAAACUUUCUGGCAAGCUUUAAAACAUAAAAAUGAAGAAAAAAUACUCUG